rnacentral:rRNA from 1 species
UAGGGAAUCUUCGGCAAUGGGGGCAACCCUGACCGAGCAACGCCGCGUGAGUGAAGAAGGUUUUCGGAUCGUAAAGCUCUGUUGUAAGAGAAGAACGUGUGUGAGAGUGGAAAGUUCACACAGUGACGGUAACUUACCAGAAAGGGACGGCUAACUACGUGCCAGCAGCCGCGGUAAUACGUAGGUCCCGAGCGUUGUCCGGAUUUAUUGGGCGUAAAGCGAGCGCAGGCGGUUUAAUAAGUCUGAAGUUAAAGGCAGUGGCUUAACCAUUGUUCGCUUUAGAAACUGUUAGACUUGAGUGCAGAAGGGAAGAGUGGAAUUCCAUGUGUAGCGGUGAAAUGCGUAGAUAUAUGGAGGAACACCGGUGGCGAAAGCGGCUCUCUGGUCUGUAACUGACGCUGAGGCUCGAAAGCGUGGGGAGCAAACAGG